AUUGAACGCUGGCGGCAUGCUUUACACAUGCAAGUCGAACGGCAGCACGGGAGCAAUCCUGGUGGCGAGUGGCGAACGGGUGAGUAAAGUAUCGGAACGUGCCCAGUCGUGGGGGAUAACGUAGCGAAAGUUACGCUAAUACCGCAUACGAUCUAUGGAUGAAAGCGGGGGAUCGCAAGACCUCGCGCGAUUGGAGCGGCCGAUAUCAGAUUAGGUAGUUGGUGGGGUAAAGGCUCACCAAGCCGACGAUCUGUAGCUGGUCUGAGAGGACGACCAGCCACACGGGGACUGGGACACGGCCCAGACUCCUACGGGAGGCAGCAGUGGGGAAUUUUGGACAAUGGGCGCAAGCCUGAUCCAGCCAUGCCGCGUGCAGGAUGAAGGCCUUCGGGUUGUAAACUGCUUUUGUACGGAACGAAAAGGUUUGACUUAAUAUGUUGGACUCAUGACGGUACCGUAAGAAUAAGCACCGGCUAACUACGUGCCAGCAGCCGCGGUAA
rnacentral:rRNA from 1 species